rnacentral:lncRNA from 1 species
CUUGUUGUCAUCAUUUUAUCAAAUAUAAUUCAAGAGGUCUCAGUUUGAGCUAAGAUCUCUCUGGAGGUUUGUGCAAUAAAGGGUUGCAUCCAUUUGACCUUUCGUAAAAAUAUUGAAGAAAAGUGACAUUAUUUCAAGUAAUUACAUCCUUUAUUAGUAGUACAUCCAAAGAUUCUCAAAUUUUCAUGUUCGAGGAAUCUGAGUACUGUCGAGGGUCUCCAAUUUGUACACCCC